UACGGAGGGGACUAGCGUUGUUCGGAAUUACUGGGCGUAAAGCGCACGUAGGCGGUUUUGUAAGUCAGGGGUGAAAUCCCGGGGCUCAACCUCGGAACUGCCUUUGAUACUGCAAAUCUCGAGUCCGGAAGAGGUGAGUGGAAUUCCUAGUGUAGAGGUGAAAUUCGUAGAUAUUAGGAAGAACACCAGUGGCGAAGGCGGCUCACUGGUCCGGUACUGACGCUCAGGGACGAAAGCUAGGGGAGCGAAUGGG
rnacentral:rRNA from 1 species